CCCAACUCGCGAAGAAGAAGAAGACGACCAAAAAUUAAUAUUUUAUUAAUAAAAAUUACAAAAAUUAUUAUUUCAAUUUUUUUGAUAAAAAAUUUGGUUUAUUUGCAGGUGAGGAUUUAUUUUUUUUAAAAAAAAAAAGUGAAUAAAUCAACAUUCAGUUAACUUAAUCAUCAGGCGGGCAGUAGACAAUUAAAGAAGGGAAAAUGUACUCAUAAUGCUUUCCUAACACUACCUCAAUGAUGAAAAUUAAGACAAAACAAUGAAAUUUAAACCACAACUAUUGAAUAACAUUAAUUUUAGAGUAAAAAAGAAGCAACAAUUGUGUACCUGG
rnacentral:misc_RNA from 1 species